rnacentral:rRNA from 1 species
UGGGGAAUAUUGCACAAUGGGCGCAAGCCUGAUGCAGCCAUGCCGCGUGUGUGAAGAAGGCCUUCGGGUUGUAAAGCACUUUCAGCGAGGAGGAAGGGUAGUGUGUUAAUAGCACAUUGCAUUGACGUUACUCGCAGAAGAAGCACCGGCUAACUCCGUGCCAGCAGCCGCGGUAAUACGGAGGGUGCAAGCGUUAAUCGGAAUUACUGGGCGUAAAGCGCACGCAGGCGGUUUGUUAAGUCAGAUGUGAAAUCCCCGCGCUUAACGUGGGAACUGGAUUUGAAACUGGCAAGCUAGAGUCUUGUAGAGGGGGGUAGAAUUCCAGGUGUAGCGGUGAAAUGCGUAGAGAUCUGGAGGAAUACCGGUGGCGAAGGCGGCCCCCUGGACAAAGACUGACGCUCAGGUGCGAAAGCGUGGGGAGCAAACA